rnacentral:misc_RNA from 1 species
GAUGAAGAACGCAGCGAAAUGCGAUAAGUAAUGUGAAUUGCAGAAUUCAGUGAACCAUCGAAUCUUUGAACGCACAUUGCGCCCGCCAGUAUUCUGGCGGGCAUGCCUGUUCGAGCGUCAUUUCAACCAUCAAGCCCUGCUUGCGUUGGGGUCCUGCGGCUGCCCGCAGGCCCUGAAAACCAGUGGCGGGCUCGCUAGUCACACCGAGCGCAGUAAUACAUCUCGCUUUGGGCGUGCGGCGGGUUCUUGCCGUUAAACACCCCCUUUUUACCAAGGUUGACCUCGGAUCAGGUAGGAAUACCCGCUGAACUUAAGCAUAUCAAUAAGCGGAGGA